AGAUCACCUUGUUUGAAAUGUCAGAAAAAAGUGGUGUUGAUGAAGCAGUUCUAAAAGCACUUUUAAAAGGAGGUAGACAAGUACCAUUAUUUGAGCAGCUAAAGUUUACUUUGUUAUGGGAUCGAUCUGAUCUUGCAAAAGAUUGUUUAUCUGCAUCAGCUGAUGCUUCAGAAAAAGAUUUGAAUUCUGCUAUGAUCAUGGCCUA
rnacentral:lncRNA from 1 species